rnacentral:lncRNA from 1 species
AUAAUUUUUCGUUGUUUAAACUUGUUUGAUGUACUUAAGCAUUAUUAUGUGCCCAAGAAUUUUUUCAAAUGCAUUUUUUCCCAAAUUGUAAAUGUAUUUCCAAAAACUCAACAACUGGACACAUUGAUUCCCCUUUCGACAACAUAUCUUACUUUCAUGAAAAUAAUUAUUCAGCAAAUGCACAAUGUCCCCUUUGUUAAUGUUAAAUUAAAUUGAACUCAAAAAGCAAGCGAUGGAGUAUCGUAUAGUAACAAAAGUUACCAAAGGUACCAGGAAUUUAACUUAAUACGCCAGACGCGCGUUUUGUCUUCAUAAGACUCACCGGUGACGCUCAGAUCAAAAUAGUUAUAAAGCCAAACAAGUACAAAGUUGAAGAGCAUUGAGGACCCUAAACUCAGAAAAUUCUUAGUUUUUCGAAAAAUUUUGGCAAACAGAAAUUUAUUAAAAUGACCAUAUAAUUGAUAUUCAUGUCAUUCGAAGUGCUGACUACUAGACUGGUGAUACCCUCGGGGACAGAACAUCCACCUGGAUGACUAAAUUAAACUCAUUUAUCAAUAUGAUGUUACUUACAGAAGCCAAUGCAGGAUUUCCCUUUAGAAGAGGAUAUAUUAAGGCAACAGUAGUAUACCGCUGUUCAAAACUCGUAAAUCCAUGGACAAAAAAACCCAGAGAAACUAAAAGAUCUUAUGGCAGAGGGGUAAGUAUGUUUUGUUCGUAUCUUUUUAAGGUCAGGAUUGAAAAAACUGUUCUUUCGUGUUAAUUAAUUUUGUAUAUAUAUCAGCUUAUUUAGACAGGAAAUUGCCUUUUCUGUUAAGAGACACAAGCAUUUAACAUAAUCUUAAUUUUUAGAAAGAACUAAUAUAUUGUUGGAAAUAUUAAAACAAUAUUAAAAAGCUGGUGAAAUAUAACAAGUGACAGACCAAAACUAUUAUUCUUGAAAAAAAACCGGAUCUGUUCUGUGUUCUCAUUUUAUUAAUUGCAUUGGAUUAGUUAUUAAGAUAAGAUUUUUCCAACAAAGUGAUUACGACAUAAUGUAAAAGUAAAAUAUUUUUUUGCAUAUCAUAUUGAUACAGUUAAUAUAGGAGAUAUGUUAUUUUAGAACGAUACAUUAAUUUUAUAAAAAGGCAGACACACGAAAUCGUAAAAAUAAUUAGAAAUAGACUAGUAAAUGAUGUUAAAUUUGAGAGUGGUCAUAUUUUAUCUUUAGAAACAAUUAAAGAUACAUAACAAACAUUAUCAUUCUGCAAGUAUAUUCACAGGAAAUAUAUUCUUACAUGAAAAGGCUAUCAUAAACAUAUUUAUUUAAAAGUUUGUUAUAUAGUAAUGUAUCGCUACAAGGCUAAUUCAAUACAAAAUGUACGUCAAGUAAUUUAACAACAUUGUAUUUAGAGGGGGCAACAGGAGAAUCCCUUUAUAUAAAUCUUCUACCUAAAGGUGUAAACGUGAAUCGAUGAUAGCCUCAUCCAAUCAAAUUGAUCUUAAAAAUAUUUCUUUUUAUUUCGACCAAUCGAUAAUAACCCUUACGUUUUUACUAGAAUAACGAAAAGUAUGUAUUAGCUUAAUCAUCUAAUUAUCGUAUCUCAAAAAGUCGAUAAAUAUGGCUUCAAGGUUAGGCAUCAUACAUUAGUAUUUGCCUGAUUAAAGAAGGGAUGGCUAAACAUAGAAUUGUAGAUACAUAGAAAUUUCAUUUCCUGAAAUAGACAAUGGGAAAUUGUCGAAUAGAAACUUGAAAUAAAUAUGACCGAAUGAAACUUGUUAUGUGUAUAACUAAAAUACAUAAAUAACUUUAUAAGACAUUUAAACAUGAUCAAUUCAUAUAUUUCAAUCAAUAGACAUUUCUACAAACAAACUUUUAUUUAUUUUUUUCAGGGUAAAAAUUACGGUUAUCUUGAAGGAGGUUACGUAGGUAGAUCUGGAUGAUACUUAGAAAACAUGGAAC